rnacentral:rRNA from 1 species
GACGAACGCUGGCGGCGUGCUUAACACAUGCAAGUCGAACGGAAAGGCCCUGCUUUUGUGGGGUGCUCGAGUGGCGAACGGGUGAGUAACACGUGAGUAACCUGCCCUUGACUUUGGGAUAACUUCAGGAAACUGGGGCUAAUACCGGAUAGGAGCUCCUGCUGCAUGGUGGGGGGUGGAAAGUUUCGGCGGUUGGGGAUGGACUCGCGGCUUAUCAGCUUGUUGGUGGGGUAGUGGCUUACCAAGGCUUUGACGGGUAGCCGGCCUGAGAGGGUGACCGGCCACAUUGGGACUGAGAGACGGCCCAGACUCCUACGGGAGGCAGCAGUGGGGAAUAUUGCACAAUGGGCGGAAGCCUGAUGCAGCGACGCCGCGUGCGGGAUGACGGCCUUCGGGUUGUAAACCGCUUUCGCCUGUGACGAAGCGUGAGUGACGGUAAUGGGUAAAGAAGCACCGGCUAACUACGUG